rnacentral:pre_miRNA from 1 species
CGGAGGAACAGCCCCAGUGGCGGGGCAGCUCUGGAAACCUGGAUUCAGCUCCGGCAGGAACUCCGGAGCUCUCCGUCUGCAGGGCCUGGAGGCUCAGGGGCGGG